CAGUGUUACAGCUCUUUUAGAAUUUGUUUAGCAAGUUUUCCAGUUUUUACUAAGAAUAUCCCA
rnacentral:snRNA from 1 species